AUGCUUAACACAUGCAAGUCGAACGGCAGCACGAGGAGCUUGCUCCUUGGUGGCGAGUGGCGGACGGGUGAGUAACGCGUAGGAAUCUACCUUGUAGUGGGGGACAACCCGGGGAAACUCGGGCUAAUACCGCAUAAUCUUUACGAAGGAAAGUGGGGGACCUUAGGGCCUCACGCUAUAAGAUGAGCCUGCGUUAGAUUAGCUUGUUGGUGGGGUAAAGGCCUACCAAGGCGACGAUCUAUAGCUGGUCUGAGAGGACGAUCAGCCACACUGGGACUGAGACACGGCCCAGACUCCUACGGGAGGCAGCAGUGGGGAAUAUUGGACAAUGGGCGCAAGCCUGAUCCAGCAAUGCCGCGUGUGUGAAGAAGGCCUUAGGGUUGUAAGGCACUUUCAGUAGGGAAGAAGAACCUAUGCCCAAUAAGCAUAGGCUGUGACGUUACCUACAGAAGAAGCACUGGCUAACUCUGUGCCAGCAGCCGCGGUAAUACAGAGAGUGCAAGCGUUAAUCGGAAUUACUGGGCGUAAAGCGCACGCAGGUGGAUAUCUAAGUCGAAUGUGAAAGCCCCGGGCUUAACCUGGGAACUGCAUGCGAUACUGGAUAUCUAGAGUAUAGGAGAGGGAAGUGGAAUUUCCGGUGUAGCGGUGAAAUGCGUAGAUAUCGGAAGGAACACCAGUGG
rnacentral:rRNA from 1 species